AUUGAACGCUGGCGGCAUGCUUUACACAUGCAAGUCGAACGGCAGCGGGGUAGUGCUUGCACUACUGCCGGCGAGUGGCGAACGGGUGAGUAAUAUAUCGGAACGUACCGAGUAAUGGGGGAUAACCAAUCGAAAGAUUGGCUAAUACCGCAUACGUCCUGAGGGAGAAAGCGGGGGAUCGCAAGACCUCGCGUUAUUCGAGCGGCCGAUAACUGAUUAGCUAGUUGGUGGGGUAAAGGCCUACCAAGGCGACGAUCAGUAGCGGGUCUGAGAGGACGAUCCGCCACACUGGAACUGAGACACGGCCCAGACUCCUACGGGAGGCAGCAGUGGGGAAUUUUGGACAAUGGGGGCAACCCUGAUCCAGCCAUGCCGCGUGUAUGAAGAAGGCCUUCGGGUUGUAAAGUACUUUUGUUAGGGAAGAAAAGGGAAGUGCUAAUACCACUUUUUGCUGACGGUACCUAAAGAAUAAGCACCGGCUAACUACGUG
rnacentral:rRNA from 1 species